CUGUUCUAUCCUCUCACAAUCAUCAUCUACUCUUUCUCUUUCUCAAAGAUUUCUACAAAUUGAAGCAUAACCCUAAAAUAUAAACCUAUAUUUGUUCGAAAGGCAAUUUUUCUUUUCAUAAGAAAAAAAGAUGCAAGGAGGAGAAGAAGUAAGCAUCGAGGAGCUCGCUUCCAAUCUCUCCACUUACAAAGAACAGCUUCAUAACGUUAGACAACUGUUGGCUGAUGAUCCUCAUAAUUCUGAGUAUGUGGACAUGGAGAAGGAGCUUAAUGAGGUCAUUGCUCUGACGGAGGAACUCCUUGCAACUGCAAAGCAGAAUGAGAUAUCUGGAUCAGAUAUUGGGCCAGAAACAAGUGCAUCACCUGGUUUGCAUCAACCUAAGGAUUCAGUGGGAAUGUCUAGUGGACAUGAGAAGUUUCCUGUUGGUGCAAAAGUUCAAGCAGUAUGGAGUGAAGAUGGGGAUUGGUACGAUGCAACAAUAGAGGCUCUUACUCCAAAUGGGUAUUAUGUUUCCUAUGAUGGAUGGGGGAAUAAGGAAGAGGUUGAUCCUGCCAAUGUAAGACCGGUUGAGUUCAAUGCUUUACUGGAAGCUGAAAGAGAUGCUGAAGCUACAAAGCAAGCUAUCAAACGGAAGAUUGCACAAGCUGCUUUUGUUGAUUUCGAAUCACGAAGUUUGCCAUCAAAGCUUCGUAUAAAUGCUGAUGACCCAGAGGAUGUGAAAUCUGCCAAGCGUAAGAAAAUACAUGCCUUCAAGUCAAAGGUGCGUUUUGAGCAACUUGAAGUUGCACAAAAUAAGCGGCAAAAUGCAUGGCAGCAGUUCCAGACCACUAAAGGCAGCAGUAAAAAGGUUGGUUUCUUCUCAGGGCGCAAGCGAGAAAGCAUUUUUAAGUCCCCUGAUGACCCAAAUGGUAAGGUUGGGUGUGACUGGAAGUGGCAAGGGCUUGACAGAGUUCCAGAAAAGGGAAAAGCACUUGCAUCUCAAAGGUGGAACUGUGGAGACUGAUGAUUAGACUUUUGAGUUUCGAUUAUUUUCAUAGUUCUUCAUAUGUAACUUGCUUCAUUAGUUAACUGAUGCAUUAGCAAGGUCACUAGUUAAAGGAGUCGAAUUGACAUCUAGUGUGCAUGGCAUAACUUUGUGAGAAUUUAUGUCACUUGCAAUGCCAUUUGCAGAUGUUCGGAUAUUACAACUUCUCUGUUAUGUCUACUGUUUCAUUUUUUUUUUCAAGGUUUGGUGAUAGGGAUGUAUGAAUUCUGAGAGAAGAAUUUGAUUUCUC
rnacentral:misc_RNA from 1 species